rnacentral:rRNA from 1 species
CUGCCGCCGGCGACCGGCGCACGGGUGAGUAACACGUAUGCAACCUGGCCGUGACAGAUGGAUAACCGGGAGAAAUCCCGCCUAAUACAACAUAAUGCCGGGAGGGGACAUCCCCUGCCGGCCAAAGGGGGCGACCCCGGUCACGGAUGGGCAUGCGGCGCAUUAGGUAGUUGGUGGGGCAACGGCCCACCAAGCCGACGAUGCGUAGGGGUUCUGAGAGGAAGGUCCCCCACAUUGGAACUGAGACACGGUCCAAACCCCUACGGAAGGCAGCAG